rnacentral:rRNA from 1 species
AAAUUGAAGAGUUUGAUCAUGGCUCAGAUUGAACGCUGGCGGCAGGCCUAACACAUGCAAGUCGAGCGGUAGCACAGAGAGCGUGCUCUCGGGUGACGAGCGGCGGACGGGUGAGUAAUGUCUGGGAAACUGCCUGAUGGAGGGGGAUAACUACUGGAAACGGUAGCUAAUACCGCAUAAUGUCGCAAGACCAAAGUGGGGGACCUUCGGGCCUCAUGCCAUCAGAUGUGCCCAGAUGGGAUUAGCUAGUAGGUGGGGUAACGGCUCACCUAGGCGACGAUCCCUAGCUGGUCUGAGAGGAUGACCAGCCACACUGGAACUGAGACACGGUCCAGACUCCUACGGGAGGCAGCAGUGGGGAAUAUUGCACAAUGGGCGCAAGCCUGAUGCAGCCAUGCCGCGUGUGUGAAGAAGGCCUUCGGGUUGUAAAGCACUUUCAGCGGGGAGGAAGGCGAUAAGGUUAAUAACCUCAUCGAUUGACGUUACCCGCAGAAGAAGCACCGGCUAACUCCGUGCCAGCAGCCGCGGUAAUACGGAGGGUGCAAGCGUUAAUCGGAAUUACUGGGCGUAAAGCGCACGCAGGCGGUCUGUCAAGUCGGAUGUGAAAUCCCCGGGCUCAACCUGGGAACUGCAUUCGAAACUGGCAGGCUAGAGUCUUGUAGAGGGGGGUAGAAUUCCAGGUGUAGCGGUGAAAUGCGUAGAGAUCUGGAGGAAUACCGGUGGCGAAGGCGGCCCCCUGGACAAAGACUGACGCUCAGGUGCGAAAGCGUGGGGAGCAAACAGGAUUAGAUACCCUGGUAGUCCACGCCGUAAACGAUGUCGAUUUGGAGGUUGUGCCCUUGAGGCGUGGCUUCCGGAGCUAACGCGUUAAAUCGACCGCCUGGGGAGUACGGCCGCAAGGUUAAAACUCAAAUGAAUUGACGGGGGCCCGCACAAGCGGUGGAGCAUGUGGUUUAAUUCGAUGCAACGCGAAGAACCUUACCUGGUCUUGACAUCCACAGAACUUUCCAGAGAUGGAUUGGUGCCUUCGGGAACUGUGAGACAGGUGCUGCAUGGCUGUCGUCAGCUCGUGUUGUGAAAUGUUGGGUUAAGUCCCGCAACGAGCGCAACCCUUAUCCUUUGUUGCCAGCGGUCCGGCCGGGAACUCAAAGGAGACUGCCAGUGAUAAACUGGAGGAAGGUGGGGAUGACGUCAAGUCAUCAUGGCCCUUACGACCAGGGCUACACACGUGCUACAAUGGCAUAUACAAAGAGAAGCGACCUCGCGAGAGCAAGCGGACCUCAUAAAGUAUGUCGUAGUCCGGAUUGGAGUCUGCAACUCGACUCCAUGAAGUCGGAAUCGCUAGUAAUCGUAGAUCAGAAUGCUACGGUGAAUACGUUCCCGGGCCUUGUACACACCGCCCGUCACACCAUGGGAGUGGGUUGCAAAAGAAGUAGGUAGCUUAACCUUCGGGAGGGCGCUUACCACUUUGUGAUUCAUGACUGGGGUGAAGUCGUAACAAGGUAACCGUAGGGGAACCUGCGGUUGGAUCACCUCCUUA